UGGGGAAUAUUGCACAAUGGGCGCAAGCCUGAUGCAGCCAUGCCGCGUGUAUGAAGAAGGCCUUCGGGUUGUAAAGUACUUUCAGCGGGGAGGAAGGUGUUGUGGUUAAUAACCACAGCAAUUGACGUUACCCGCAGAAGAAGCACCGGCUAACUCCGUGCCAGCAGCCGCGGUAAUACGGAGGGUGCAAGCGUUAAUCGGAAUUACUGGGCGUAAAGCGCACGCAGGCGGUCUGUCAAGUCGGAUGUGAAAUCCCCGGGCUCAACCUGGGAACUGCAUUCGAAACUGGCAGGCUAGAGUCUUGUAGAGGGGGGUAGAAUUCCAGGUGUAGCGGUGAAAUGCGUAGAGAUCUGGAUGAAUACCGGUGGCGAAGGCGGCCCCCUGGACAAAGACUGACGCUCAGGUGCGAAAGCGUGGGGAGCAAACA
rnacentral:rRNA from 1 species